GAUGAAGAACGUAGCGAAAUGCGAUAAGUAGUGUGAAUUGCAGAAUUCAGUGAAUCAUCGAAUCUUUGAACGCACAUUGCGCCCUUUGGUAUUCCUUAGGGCAUGCCUGUUCGAGCGUCAUCUAAACCCUCAAGCGCUGCUUGGUGUUGGGUGCCUGUCCCGCCCCCGCGCGUGGACUCACCUCAAAUCCAUUGGCGGCCCUCACGUCGGCUUCGAGCGCAGCAGAAACGCGAACUCGUGGCCCGGCGGAGCGGCUCCCAGAAGCUACAUUCACCAUUUUGACCUCGGAUCAGGUAGGGAUACCCGCUGAACUUAAGCAUAUCAAUAAGCGGAGGA
rnacentral:misc_RNA from 1 species